rnacentral:rRNA from 1 species
UACGGAAGGGGGCUAGCGUUGCUCGGAAUUACUGGGCGUAAAGGGCUCGUAGGCGCCAACUAAGUCAGACGUGAAAUCCCUCGGCUUAACCGGGGAACUGCGUCUGAUACUGGCGAGCUUGAGUGCAGGAGAGGAACGCGGAAUUCCAGGUGUAGCGGUGAAAUGCGUAGAUAUCUGGAGGAACACCGGUGGCGAAGGCGGCGUUCUGGACUGCAACUGACACUGAGAGACGAAAGCCAGGGGAGCAAACGGG